rnacentral:rRNA from 1 species
CGCUAUCACUCCUACGGGAGGCAGCAGUGGGGAAUAUUGCACAAUGGGCGCAAGCCUGAUGCAGCCAUGCCGCGUGUAUGAAGAAGGCCUUCGGGUUGUAAAGUACUUUCAGCAGUGAGGAAGGCGGAGUCGUUAAUAGCGGCCUCGUUUGACGUUAGCUGCAGAAGAAGCACCGGCUAACUCCGUGCCAGCAGCCGCGGUAAUACGGAGGGUGCGAGCGUUAAUCGGAAUUACUGGGCGUAAAGCGCAUGCAGGUGGUUUGUUAAGUCAGAUGUGAAAGCCCGGGGCUCAACCUCGGAAUUGCAUUUGAAACUGGCAGGCUAGAGUCUUGUAGAGGGGGUAGAAUUUCAGGUGUAGCGGUGAAAAUGCGUAGAGAUCUGAAGGAAUACCAGUGGCGAAGGCGGCCCCCUGGACAAAGACUGACGCUCAGAUGCGAAAGCGUGGGGAGCAAACAGGAUUAGAUACCCUGGUAG